GUCCCGCUCCACAGUCCUUACUACUGUGUGCCUAGCUCCCAUAGAGAAUGAAUUGGAACAACCUGCUCACUUUGUUCCAGUCGACUCUUUAGCCUUUUGAGAAGUAGAUUGGAUUUACUUCCCAGGAUGAACUGAUAGGCAGAUGGCUACAGUCUCUUCACGAUUAGUUUCUGGGAUGGAUGAGUGAAAGUGGCUGCUCUCAAACAUGGUGUAGGGGCAGAAUGGGUCACAUGGAAGGAAAACCACUAACAUACAAGUCGUCUCCUGGUUAUGGGUGUGUGUUGACAAGAACCAAAGGGAAAAGACAAAGAGGCCGUGAGGAAGUUG